UGGGGAAUAUUGCACAAUGGGCGCAAGCCUGAUGCAGCCAUGCCGCGUGUGUGAAGAAGGCCUUCGGGUUGUAAAGCACUUUCAGCGAGGAGGAAGGGUAGUGUGUUAAUAGCACAUUGCAUUGACGUUACUCGCAGAAGAAGCACCGGCUAACUCCGUGCCAGCAGCCGCGGUAAUACGGAGGGUGCAAGCGUUAAUCGGAAUUACUGGGCGUAAAGCGCACGCAGGCGGUUUGUUAAGUCAGAUGUGAAAUCCCCGCGCUUAACGUGGGAACUGCAUUUGAAACUGGCAAGC
rnacentral:rRNA from 1 species